rnacentral:rRNA from 1 species
UGGGGAAUUUUGGACAAUGGGCGAAAGCCUGAUCCAGCAAUGCCGCGUGUGUGAAGAAGGCCUUCGGGUUGUAAAGCACUUUUGUCCGGAAAGAAAUCCUUGGCUCUAAUACAGUCGGGGGAUGACGGUACCGGAAGAAUAAGCACCGGCUAACUACGUGCCAGCAGCCGCGGUAAUACGUAGGGUGCAAGCGUUAAUCGGAAUUACUGGGCGUAAAGCGUGCGCAGGCGGUUUGCUAAGACCGGUGUGAAAUCCCCGGGCUCAACCUGGGAACUGCAUUGGUGACUGGCAGGCUAGAGUAUGGCAGAGGGGGGUAGAAUUCCACGUGUAGCAGUGAAAUGCGUAGAGAUGUGGAGGAAUACCGAUGGCGAAGGCAGCCCCCUGGGCCAAUACUGACGCUCAUGCACGAAAGCGUGGGGGAGCAAAACAGGAUUAGAUACCCUGGUAGUCCACGCCCUAAACGAUGUCAACUAGUUGUUGGGGAUUCAUUUCCUUAGUAACGUAGCUAACGCGUGAAGUUGACCGCCUGGGGGAGUACGGUCGCAAGAUU